ensembl:miRNA gmo-mir-11219 gmo-mir-11219
AAUCUUGGACUGGAUGAUGUUAGUCACUUAGAACACAUGACAUCCCUCAGGCCAAUUGAU